GGACGAACGCUGGCGGCGUGCUUAACACAUGCAAGUCGAACGAUGAACCACUUCGGUGGGGAUUAGUGGCGAACGGGUGAGUAACACGUGGGCAAUCUGCCCUGCACUCUGGGACAAGCCCUGGAAACGGGGUCUAAUACCGGAUACUGAUCCUCGCAGGCAUCUGCGAGGUUCGAAAGCUCCGGCGGUGCAGGAUGAGCCCGCGGCCUAUCAGCUAGUUGGUGAGGUAACGGCUCACCAAGGCGACGACGGGUAGCCGGCCUGAGAGGGCGACCGGCCACACUGGGACUGAGACACGGCCCAGACUCCUACGGGAGGCAGCAGUGGGGAAUAUUGCACAAUGGGCGAAAGCCUGAUGCAGCGACGCCGCGUGAGGGAUGACGGCCUUCGGGUUGUAAACCUCUUUCAGCAGGGAAGAAGCGAAAGUGACGGUACCUGCAGAAGAAGCGCCGGCUAACUACGUGCCA
rnacentral:rRNA from 1 species